GACCAACGCUCCGGCAGCCUAGUCGUCAGAGCAUCCGAUUCCGAUUCAGGAGGUCGCGGGUUCAAACCCCGAUCGAGUCA